rnacentral:tRNA from 2 species
GUCCCCGUAGUUUAACGGAUAGAACGUCAGGUUGCGGACCUGAAGACUGGAGGUUCAAUUCCUCCCGGGGACG